rnacentral:rRNA from 1 species
GGAAUUUUCCGCAAUGGGCGAAAGCCUGACGCAGCCAUGCCGCGUGAAUGAUGAAGGUCUUAGGAUUGUAAAAUUCUUUCACCGGGGACGAUAGUGACGGUACCCGGAGAAGAAGCCCCGGCUAACUUCGUGCCAGCAGCCGCGGUAAUACGAAGGGGGCUAGCGUUGCUCGGAAUUACUGGGCGUAAAGGGCGCGUAGGCGGAUCGUUAAGUCAGAGGUGAAAUCCCAGGGCUCAACCCUGGAACUGCCUUUGAUACUGGCGAUCUUGAGUAUGAGAGAGGUAUGUGGAACUCCGAGUGUAGAGGUGAAAUCCGUAGAUAUUCGGAAGAACACCAGUGGCGAAGGCGACAUACUGGCUCAUUACUGACGCUGAGGCGCGAAAGCGUGGGGAGCAAACAGGAUUAGAUACCCCAGUAGUC